rnacentral:rRNA from 1 species
UGAGGAAUAUUGGACAAUGGGUGGAAGCCUGAUCCAGCCAUCCCGCGUGAAGGAUGACGGUCCUAUGGAUUGUAAACUUCUUUUGUACAGGGAUAAACCUGCCCUCGUGAGGGCAGCUGAAGGUACUGUACGAAUAAGCACCGGCUAACUCCGUGCCAGCAGCCGCGGUAAUACGGAGGGUGCGAGCGUUAUCCGGAUUUAUUGGGUUUAAAGGGUCCGUAGGCGGGCCUGUAAGUCAGUGGUGAAAUCUCAUAGCUUAACUAUGAAACUGCCAUUGAUACUGCAGGCCUUGAGUAAAGUUGAAGUGGCUGGAAUAAGUAGUGUAGCGGUGAAAUGCAUAGAUAUUACUUAGAACACCGAUUGCGAAGGCAGGUCACUAAGAUUUAGCUGACGCUGAUGGACGAAAGCGUGGGGAGCGAAC